GACGAACGCUGGCGGCGUGCUUAACACAUGCAAGUCGAACGGAAAGGCCCUUCGGGGUACUCGAGUGGCGAACGGGUGAGUAACACGUGGGUGAUCUGCCCUGCACUUUGGGAUAAGCCUGGGAAACUGGGUCUAAUACCGAAUAGGACCACGCGCUUCAUGGUGUGUGGUGGAAAGCUUUUGCGGUGUGGGAUGGGCCCGCGGCCUAUCAGCUUGUUGGCGGGGUAAUGGCCUACCAAGGCGACGACGGGUAGCCGGCCUGAGAGGGUGACCGGCCACACUGGGACUGAGAUACGGCCCAGACUCCUACGGGAGGCAGCAGUGGGGAAUAUUGCACAAUGGGCGCAAGCCUGAUGCAGCGACGCCGCGUGCGGGAUGACGGCCUUCGGGUUGUAAACCUCUUUCAAUAGGGACGAAGCGCAAGUGACGGUACCUAUAGAAGAAGCACCGGCCAACUACGUG
rnacentral:rRNA from 1 species